rnacentral:rRNA from 1 species
CUACGGGGUGCUGCAGUGGGGAAUAUUGGACAAUGGGGGAAACCCUGAUCCAGCAAUGCCGCGUGUGUGAAGAUGGCCUGCGGGUUGUAAAGCACUUUCGGUUGGGAGGACUGCUUCUAGCACUAAUAUUGUUGGAAGUUGACGUUACCUUCAGAAGAAGCACCGGCUAACUCCGUGCCAGCAGCCGCGGUAAUACGGAGGGUGCAAGCGUUAAUCGGAAUUACUGGGCGUAAAGCGCGCGUAGGCGGCUAGAUCAGUCGGGUGUGAAAGCCCCGGGCUUAACCUGGGAACUGCAUCCGAUACUGUCUAGCUUGAGUACAGGAGAGGAGAGUGGAAUUCCACAUGUAGCGGUGAAAUGUGUAGAUAUGUGGAGGAACACCAAUGGCGAAGGCAGCUCUCUGGCCUGAUACUGACGCUGAGGUGCGAAAGCGUGGGGAGCAGACAGGAUUAGAUACCCCAGUAGUC